rnacentral:lncRNA from 1 species
AUGAAAAUCUUCAGAAAGCACCUUCAAGACCUGCACCUUUAUUUCAGGAAUAGUGCAACCCCCUCUGAAAGCAGCUGCCAGUGUCCUCCAAGUAGCGGACCUGAAAGUCACACUCAGGUCGAAGAGAAGGUGACCCAUCUGAAUAUCAACACCGAAGAAGAGAGGGGGAGACGUGGGGCAGCUCUUUCCACCCUCACCUUAUGGGGACGUUUUCAGAUGUCAUGGAGCCCUAGAUUGAUGGCCUCAUUCAGCACCUGGAGCUGAGGUUCCAGCAGCUUGGAAUUCUUGGUGAAUUUAGUGCUCUGGGACCACAAGGACCAAAAGGUGAUGAGAGUCGUGCCAUCUCAGACCUACAAAUGCUGGCCUAGCAGUUCCCACCCAUCAACGAGAAGGCACUUCUCCAAGAAUGGCAGAGCUUUAAAGUGCUCACAACAACUGGGAUUUUAAAAGUGAGUCAAUAACAUAACAUAUUAAGUUGUUUAUGUGAGAUCAAGCAUAUCUGUCAUUUACCAAUGUUCUCAUCCUUC